AUUGCUUCUCAGCCUUUUGGCUAAGAUCAAGUGUAUUAACGAAAGUCACUAGUAAUAGUCCUGUUAAAUAAAGUCAUUCUUGCUUCUGAUUAAACGUGGAUCACUUUUUAAGCUAACUACAUAAGAAUCCUAGAUGCCACUUUUACAAUCUUAGGAAUUCCACUUUCUCCCUGAAAUAUUUAGUUCAG